rnacentral:rRNA from 1 species
UUCCGGUUGAUCCUGCCGGACCCGACUGCUAUCAGAGUGAGAUUAAGCCAUGCGAGUUAACGUAGCAAUACGUGGCGCACGGCUCAGUAACACGUAGUCAACAUGCCCAGAGGACGUGGAUAACCUCGGGAAACUGAGUCUAAACCGCGAUAAGUGAGGAUUUCUGGAAUGGUUCCUGACUAAAAUCUAUAUGGCCUCUGGAUUGGACUGCGGCCGAUCAGGCUGUUGGUGAGGUAAUGGCCCACCAAACCUGUAACCGGUACGGGCUCUGAGAGGAGGAGCCCGGGGAUGGGCACUGAGACAAGGGCCCAGGCCCUAUGGAGCGCAGCAGGCGCGAAACCUCUGCAAUAGGCGAAAGCCUGACAGGGUUACUCUGAGUGGCUUUCGCUAAGAAAGUCUUUUGGCACCUCUAAAAAGGGUGCAGAAUGAGGGGUGGGCAAGUCUGGUGUCAGCCGCCGCGGUAAUACCAGCACCCCGAGUGGUCGGGACAAUUAUUGGACCUAAAGCAUCCGUAGCCGGUUCUGCAAGUCCCCCGUUAAAUCCAGCUGCUCAACAGAUGGGCCGCGGAGGAUACUACAGAGCUAGGAGGCAGGAGAGGCAAGCGGUACUCAGUGGGUAGGG